CUCCCAGAUUCUUGGCAGCAAGAACACUGCAAGGCAAUCAAAACCCGUGUGAGGUGGUCGCAAUAUCAGAAGGAUCGGACUUUAUCUACACCCCCCUUGAUGAUAGAGACAGUUCGAUAGAAAAUGCGUUGAAUGCCCCUUGCUUUGAGAUGUCACUGAUGAGAUGUACCAGGAGAACAAAUAUAUCAUAUAAUAAUAGGUGUCUCGGUGGAGUUCAAAGGUGUACAGUGAUUUUAAUAUGCAGAAGAUGCCUUUGCUGAUGCUUAUAACGGGUUUAUUGAAGAACAGGAUAAUUAAAAAAAAGAAGCAACUAAGUGGAUAGUAAGCAUAAGAUGCCUGAAGAGUAAACAUACUUACCAGUGCCUGAGAUAUAGACGACAGG